AUUCGACGUUCCGGAUCCAGAGUUUGAUCCUGGUCAGAACGAACGCUGGCGGCGUGCCUAAUACAUGCAAGUCGAACGAGUUCUGAUUAUUGAAAGGUGCUUGCAUCUUGAUUUAAUUUUGAACGAGUGGCGGACGGGUGAGUAACACGUGGGUAACCUGCCCUUAAGUGGGGGAUAACAUUUGGAAACAGAUGCUAAUACCGCAUAAAUCCAAGAACCGCAUGGUUCUUGGCUGAAAGAUGGCGUAAGCUAUCGCUUUUGGAUGGACCCGCGGCGUAUUAGCUAGUUGGUGAGGUAACGGCGCACCAAGGCAAUGAUACGUAGCCGAACUGAGAGGUUGAUCGGCCACAUUGGGACUGAGACACGGCCCAAACUCCUACGGGAGGCAGCAGUAGGGAAUCUUCCACAAUGGACGCAAGUCUGAUGGAGCAACGCCGCGUGAGUGAAGAAGGCUUUCGGGUCGUAAAACUCUGUUGUUGGAGAAGAAUGGUCGGCAGAGUAACUGUUGUCGGCGUGACGGUAUCCAACCAGAAAGCCACGGCUAACUACGUGCCAGCAGCCGCGGUAAUACGUAGGUGGCAAGCGUUAUCCGGAUUUAUUGGGCGUAAAGCGAGCGCAGGCGGUUUUUUAAGUCUGAUGUGAGAGCCCUCGGCUUAACCAAGGAAGUGCAUCGGAAACUGGGAAACUUGAGUGCAGAAGAGGACAGUGGAACUCCAUGUGUAGCGGUGAAAUGCGUAGAUAUAUGGAAGAACACCAGUGGCGAAGGCGGCUGUCUGGUCUGUAACUGACGCUGAGGCUCGAAAGCAUGGGUAGCGAACAGGAUUAGAUACCCUGGUAGUCCAUGCCGUAAACGAUGAAUGCUAGGUGUUGGAGGGUUUCCCGCCCUUCAGUGCCGCAGCUAACGCAUUAAGCAUUCCGCCUGGGGAGUACGACCGCAAGGUUGAAACUCAAAGGAAUUUGACGGGGGCCCCGCACAAGCGGUGGAGCAUGUGGUUUAAUUCGAAGCAACGCGAAGAACCUUACCAGUCUUGACAUCUUUUGAUCACCUGAGAGAUCAGGUUUCCCUUCGGGGGCAAAUGACAGGUGGUGCAUGGUUGUCGUCAGCUCGUGUCGUGAGAUGUUGGGUUAAGUCCCGCAACGAGCGCAACCCUUAUGACUAGUUGCCAGCAUUUAGUUGGGCACUCUAGUAAGACUGCCGGUGACAAACCGGAGGAAGGUGGGGAUGACGUCAAAUCAUCAUGCCCCUUAUGACCUGGGCUACACACGUGCUACAAUGGAUGGUACAACGAGUUGCGAGACCGCGAGGUCAAGCUAAUCUCUUAAAGCCAUUCUCAGUUCGGACUGUAGGCUGCAACUCGCCUACACGAAGUCGGAAUCGCUAGUAAUCGCGGAUCAGCACGCCGCGGUGAAUACGUCCCCGGGCCUUGUACACACCGCCCGUCACACCAUGAGAGUUUGUAACACCCGAAGCCGGUGGCGUAACCCUUUUAGGGAGCGAGCCGUCUAAGGUGGGACAAAUGAUUGGGGUGAAGUCGUAACAAGGUAGCCGUAGGAUCCCGAGAG
rnacentral:rRNA from 2 species